CUGAGAGGAUGACCAGCCACACUGGAACUGAGACACGGUCCAGACUCCUACGGGAGGCAGCAGUGGGGAAUAUUGCACAAUGGGCGCAAGCCUGAUGCAGCCAUGCCGCGUGUAUGAAGAAGGCCUUCGGGUUGUAAAGUACUUUCAGCGGGGAGGAAGGGAGUAAAGUUAAUACCUUUGCUCAUUGACGUUACCCGCAGAAGAAGCACCGGCUAACUCCGUGCCAGCAGCCGCGGUAAUACGGAGGGUGCAAGCGUUAAUCGGAAUUACUGGGCGUAAAGCGCACGCAGGCGGUUUGUUAAGUCAGAUGUGAAAUCCCCGGGCUCAACCUGGGAACUGCAUCUGAUACUGGCAAGCUUGAGUCUCGUAGAGGGGGGUAGAAUUCCAGGUGUAGCGGUGAAAUGCGUAGAGAUCUGGAGGA
rnacentral:rRNA from 1 species